rnacentral:rRNA from 1 species
AUGAUGCUCCUUAGUUGGAACUGUCGAGGCCUCGGGCAGCCUCGCACAGUUCAGGAACUCGUGUGCCUCAUGCACACUUACAAGCCCAAGCUCGUCUUCCUCUCUGAAACCCGGCAAAACAAUAAGUGCGUCAAGAAUCUUAAGUGGAGGUUAGGCCUCCGUCAUUGUAUCACGCAACCCGGUAUCGGAAAAGGUGCCGGCAUUGCCCUCUUUUAUGAUGAGAGUAUUGAAUGGCGAUGCACUAUUGUAUACGGGGAACCGAAGGCCCAUCAGCAUCACCAUAUGUGGACAUUACUUUGGAGAAUAAAAGAUACAACAAAUGUGCCA